AAGCUUGCUUCUCUGAUGUUAGCGGCGGACGGGUGAGUAACACGUGGAUAACCUACCUAUAAGACUGGGAUAACUUCGGGAAACCGGAGCUAAUACCGGAUAAUAUUUUGAACCGCAUGGUUCAAAAGUAAAAGACGGUCCUUGCUGUCACUUAUAGAUGGAUCCGCGCUGCAUUAGCUAGUUGGUAAGGUAACGGCUUACCAAGGCAACGAUGCAUAGCCGACCUGAGAGGGUGAUCGGCCACACUGGAACUGAGACACGGUCCAGACUCCUACGGGAGGCAGCAGUAGGGAAUCUUCCGCAAUGGGCGAAAGCCUGACGGAGCAACGCCGCGUGAGUGAUGAAGGUCUUCGGAUCGUAAAACUCUGUUAUUAGGGAAGAACAUAUGUGUAAGUAACUGUGCACAUCUUGACGGUACCUAAUCAGAAAGCCACGGCUAACUACGUGCCAGCAGCCGCGGUAAUACGUAGGUGGCAAGCGUUAUCCGGAAUUAUUGGGCGUAAAGCGCGCGUAGGCGGUUUUUUAAGUCUGAUGUGAAAGCCCACGGCUCAACCGUGGAGGGUCAUUGGAAACUGGAAAACUUGAGUGCAGAAGAGGAAAGUGGAAUUCCAUGUGUAGCGGUGAAAUGCGCAGAGAUAUGGAGGAACACCAGUGGCGAAGGCGACUUUCUGGUCUGUAACUGACGCUGAUGUGCGAAAGCGUGGGGAUCAAACAGGAUUAGAUACCCUGGUAGUCCACGCCGUAAACGAUGAGUGCUAAGUGUUAGGGGGUUUCCGCCCCUUAGUGCUGCAGCUAACGCCAUUAAGCACUCCGCCUGGGG
rnacentral:rRNA from 1 species